UUUUCUUUCUAGGGCUGUACCUGUGGCAUAUGGAGGUUCCCAGGCAAGGGGUUGAAUCAGAGCUGUAACCUCCAGCCUACACCACAGCCACAGCAACACCAGAUCUAAACUGCAUCUGUGACCUACACCACAGCUCACAGCAAUGCCGGAUCCUUAACCCACUGAGCAAGGCCGGGGAUCGAACCUACAACUCAUGGUUCCUAGUUGGAUUCAUUUCCACUGUGCCAUGACGGGAACUCCUGGAUGUUUAUUUUCAAAGCAUGUAGAGUGGAUUAAAGGGAGAAGUUAUAUCUACAAGGGGACACUAUUCAGUUUUAAAAGGAAGGCAACUCUGAGAUGUCUACGACAUGGGUGAACCUUGAGGACAUUUUGCUCAGUGAGAUAAACCAGACACAAAAGGACAAAUACUGUAUAAUUCCACUUACACGAGGUACCUACAGUAGUCAGAUUCAUAAAAAUAGAAAGCCAAAAGUGGUUAUCAGAGGCUGGGGGAAUGGGAAGGGGAGUUAUUUCCAUAAUAAUGAGUAUGAAGUUUCAGUUUUGCAAGAUGAAGAGCUCUGGAGACGGAUGAUGGUGAUGGUGGUAUAACAACGUGAUGUUAUUUAAUACCACUUAAAAAUGGAUAAGAAGAGGAGUUCCCAUUGUGGCUCAGUGGACAUGAACCCGACUGUCCUCCAUGAGGAUGCAGGUUUGAUCCCUGGUCUCGUGCAGUGGACUAAGGAUCUGACAUUGCCAUGAGCUGGUAGCUGCAGCUCUGAUGGGACCCCUUGCCUGGGAACUUUCAUAUACUGCAGAUGUGAUCAUAAAAAGAAAAAGAAAUAUAAGAAGGUAAAUUUUAGGUUAUGUUUUUACCAAAAUUAAAAAUUUUUAAAGGAAAAAAAGAGAAAAGAAAAGGGAAGAGUGGUGAAGGGUAGGGCUUUUUCUAGAGGCUAUUCCUAAUAUGGCUAGAGUUGGGUAGGGGGCAGUAGAAGUUAUAGUGGAAACAUAUAAAGCUAUGAUUGUACAUCAGAAAUGGUCAGAAGUUGGAAAUGUCAUAUGGUUCAACCCAACAGAAAGGAAGGGAGAGACAAAUCCUUUAAUGAAGUCCAAGAAAUGUACAUUCUUACCAUUUAAGUUGCAUUGCACAAUAUUUUCUCGGGUGCUCAUUUUCAAACUAAUAACCCACACAGCAAAUACUUUCCAUUUUCAAACAUCUUAUGUCAAUUUGAAAAUGGCUUUUUUUUUAAUUGGAGAAACUCAUACUGUCUUCACUUUGCUCAGUGUGAAGCUAACUUGCCCAAAUUGUCUUCAGUACAUAUUUGUCUUUUGUGUUUCAAAAGGGGGAAAGUUCCUAUCUCCCCAUUUCAAAAAGUUUGGGCAGUGCCCAGUGCUGUCCCCAUAACUCACUUCAUUUCAGCUCUAGUUUUCACAGUUGGCAGACUCAGAUGCCAAGUUUUUGCUUCAGCACUGGUCAAAAUUCCAUGCAGAGCUUUGUUGCCAGUACCUGCUGAUCCAUCUCGCAGUUGAGUUUUAAACUUUUCAGCAGAGCAAUGGAAUGAAAAUGAGCAGGUUUUAUCAUCACCUUAAAAAAAAAAUCACAUACAUGUAAGCGGUGCUCAAACUUGUCUGUAUAUAAGACUGGUCCCAGGUAAUGGUUGAAAAAAAAUUCCCACGUGGUUUCACAGAGAUUCUGAUUCAGGGACUGGGUAGACUACAGAAACCUGUUUUUAACAAAAAUUUGGUACAGGUGGUGGUCUUACUAUUUUUUAUAUUUUUAAAAUUAAAGUAUAGAUGAUUUACAACGUUGUGCCAAUUUCUGCUGUGCAGCAAAGUGACCCAGUCAUAUAUAUAUUUAUACACACAUACACAUUCUUUUUUUCAUAUCAUCCCUCAUCUUGUUCCAUCCCAAGAGAUUGGGUAUAGUUCCCGGUGCUGUACAAUAGGACCUCAUUGCUUAUCCAUUUUAAAUAUAAUAGUUUGCAUGUACUAACCUCAAACUCUCCAUCCAUCCCACUCCCUCCCCUCUCCCUCUUGGCAACCAAAAGUCUGUUCUCCAUGUCUGUGAAUCUGUUUCUGUUCUGCAGAUAGGUUCAUUUGUGCCAUAUUUUAGAUUCCACGUAUAAGUGAUAUCAUAUGGUAUUUGUCUUUCCCUUUCUGAUUUACUUCACUUGGUAAGAGAAUCUCUAGUUGCAUCCAUGCCAAAUGGCAUGAUUUUCAUUCUUUUUUAUGGCCGAGUAGUAUUCCAUUGUAUACAUGUACCACAACCUUCUUAAUUUGAAGAACUGAUAGACUAAAUCAGGAUUUAUUUUUUCCUAAGGAUGACUACAGUCACCCUAAUGAUAUUGUCAUUUUAAUCUGGUAGGUACUCCAGCAUUCUGAGUACAUUUCAGUUCAAAAUAUUCCUAAGAACACUUUUCUAAACCUUGGAUAUAUUUUGAGGAAAUGAAUGGAUACAAUGAAGUAUUACAUAGGUUACUAUGUGUUUUUUUUUUUUUUUUUUUUUUUUCUGUCUUUGGAGACAAGAGUCAUAGCUACCACUUCCCAUGGCUGUAUUUCUGUUUUCCCCAGCUCUCCAAGGGUUGAAGUGGGAGAAAGAGAGGCUAGAGCACUGAGAAGCAAAGGCAGUGGAAUGUCAUUGGGAAUGCUAAAGUUGGCCAGGAUAAUUGCACGAAUGGGGUGGCAGGGAGUGUUAUACGCCAGAUUUCUGGGAAAAAGGUUUUUCAGAGUAGAGAAAGAGUGGAUACACCUUCAGGACAGGAAGGCUUUUUGAAGGAAGGUUAUGGGGUAACAGCAUCAGUGGGAACCAGUCCUCCAUAGAUGUUGAGGUUCCCAGGGCCCCAGGAGAAUGACUUGCCUCUGCUGAAGGGGUUGGGAAGGAAUGUUGUUGCUAGGAGACCCAGUGGCCAAGACAGAAGGAUGCCAAAGAAAGGUACUGGAUUGCUACCAACGUCUUUGUUGCUGGUCAAAAGAGAUUUCUUCAAACAGUGAAUACUGUUGGGCUAAUCCACUGGGUAGAAGACUGAAGGACAGGUAGCAUUUCAAGUGAGAAUAAGAAAACCCAGAAUGUGAUGACCUCAGUGGUUGCACAACACAAAUACUGACCAAAAAAUGAUCGGAAACUGCUUUUCCUGGAGUUCCUUCUUGGUGCAGCGGAAACAAAUCCGACUAGGAACCAUGAGGUUUCGGGUUCAAUCCCUGGCCUCGUGCAGUGGGUUAAAGAUCCCGCAUUGCCAUGAGCUAUGGUGUAGGAAUUGAACUUGCAUCCUCAUAGAUGCUAGUCAGAAUCAUUUCUGUUGAACCACGAUGGGGGAACUCCCUGGAGCCUUCUCUUUAAAUCCACUGAUCCUAUAGAUACCUGAAGGCCAUAAGGCAGAAAUAUACACAUUAUACACUAAGAGAAGUGGUAGGGGGAUCUUUACACAACAUCAUGAAAACAGUUACUAAAGAAACUCUUUCCAUCCAGUGCUUUGCUAGAAACUGUGCAAACUGAAUUAGACACAUUUUCAGAAGACCUAAGACACAUUCCAGUGACAACCAAGAUUUAAUAUGCCUAUGGAGAGGGAUAUAGCAAAUGAACAAAUAAAUUAAUGAAGCAAAAAAACAAAAAGUAAGGGAAGUAAAGCUUGCAUUCAUUGGCAAGAGAAGAAGAAUCUGAUGCAUGUCAUAUCAGAUCAUUUUGCCUUUCGCCAUUGAUAAAAGAGCUCAUGAAGAGAUAAGGCUUGAAAAUUAAAUAAUCUAAAAAGAUUCCUUGGUGAGUUAACAUGAAAUGAAUGUCCAGAGAGAAAGUAUUUCAAGGCGAGACUUGAGCAGAGGCUUAGUGAUGAGAAAAAAAAAUGAUUGCUUAAAUGGAUUUGAAGAUAAUCAUCUGGAAGAAAAAGGUCCUGGUGAAGAACUAAGAUGAGCGUGAACAGUCAAUCCUGGGAAUUAAAUGGAGUGAGGAAAUGCCCCUCUGUUGAGCUCAGAGUUGGCCUUUCUCAGGUAGAAUGCCCUGCAGGUCUAGGAAAAGUCUGCCUUCCUCUAGCUGAGCACUUAAGUCAACUUUUUCCAUGGUAGUUUCAGUUGGCUUUAGUUAAUCUCCUCCUCUAUUCUUUUCUACUUUCUUCCUGCGUUAGUUUAGGGUUAUCUAAAUACCAAAAUAGUACUGGGGAUGGGAACUCAGGAAAAAGACAUACACAAUUGCUUAGUUUCUAACAGUGGUUAUGGAGUUUUCACUUCAGCUGACUUGCUGAGCCAUGACCAUCCUCAAUGGCCAUCAGGUGCCAAUAUGCGGAAAAUUGGCUGAAUUUGCUUCCUCUUGGACUCUAUUCCCCUUGACCUUGCCCAUAUCCAUCUGGACUUUCUUAUCAAGAUGAUAUUUUGGUUUUUUUAGGCUCAAUUUGUUUAAAAGACUCCCCCCCUUUUUUAUAAAUGUUGCAUCUCAUGACCAACUAGGAUAAAAAAAGGAGGAGGGAGAGGAAGCCUAAUUUUUAAUAAAAUAUUUGAAUCUGUCAGCUUAACUCAGCAAGAAUCAAGGGAUAAACUGAUUUGAAAUGUCAAAAAAGUUUCCAGAUGCCAGUAUCUAUUUCUUGCCUUUGGCUGUUCUGAAUAUAGGUAAGAGAAAGCAGAAGAAGUAGUUAAUUUAUAGUAUUCUAAGAAGAGUGUUUGGUAGUUGUAUUUGUGGCUUGAGUUUAUCCUGUAUCCGUACCUAAUUACCAACGAUGUCUCCUUAGGCAAGUUAUUCAGCCACACCCUUUAUUAUACAUGGGGGGCCUAUAAUAACAUCUAAUCUAGAUUGAUUUAUGGAGAAUAAAUAAAUUAAUGCAUGAAAGGCACUUAAAUAUUGAACAACUAUUAGCUUUGAUUAUGAAUAUUAUUAAAGUGGUUAUGAUUGGGACAGAGAUGGUAUGACUCUAAAGGUAACUAAACUAUGGUCUAAGGUCCUCAGGUGGUUGAGCUGCUAUUAAACGCUUUGGCCCACCAUUCUUCAAAUAUCAGAGCACAUUGGGGAUGUUAAUUAUGAA
rnacentral:lncRNA from 1 species